rnacentral:lncRNA from 10 species
UUAGGGCGUGCCCUGUGAUCGCCACCUGCAGAAGAGAAGAGAACGAAGCAGGAUCAGGAAGAGGCAGAAACUGGCUGCAUUCAGCGAAGGCCUCAGCCAACCCCGUGCAGAAACCACGACCAAGAGAGAAGAAGAGAUUUGUCCAAGAACACAUGGAAGUAGGCCCUUGCCAGAACCUGGAGCCCUCCAGAACGGACUUUCAGCAUUGGAACCACCUUCC